GCAGUGGUGUUCCCUGGUAGAACUCUCACCUUCCAUGUGGGAGACCCGGGUUCGAUUCCUGGCCAAUACA
rnacentral:tRNA from 1 species